CAGGUUUACCUGUGUGACUGCGUACCUUUUGUAUAAUGGGUCAGCGACUUAUAUUCUGUAGCAAGGUUAACCGUAUAGGGGAGCCGUAGGGAAACCGAGUCUUAACCGGGCGUUAAGUUGCAGGGUAUAGACCCGAAACCCGGUGAUCUAGCCAUGGGCAGGUUGAAGGUUGGGUAACACUAACUGGAGGACCGAACCGACUAAUGUUGAAAAAUUAGCGGAUGACCUGUGGCUGGGGGUGAAAGGCCAAUCAAACCGGGAGAUAGCUGGUUCUCCCCGAAAGCUAUUUAGGUAGCGCCUCGUGAAUUCAUCUCCGGGGGUAGAGCACUGUUUCGGCUAGGGGGCCAUCCCGGCUUACCAACCCGAUGCAAACUGCGAAUACCGGAGAAUGUUAUCACGGGAGACACACGGCGGGUGCUAACGUCCGUCGUGAAGAGGGAAACAACCCAGACCGCCAGCUAAGGUCCCAAAGUCAUGGUUAAGUGGGAAACGAUGUGGGAAGGCCCAGACAGCCAGGAUGUUGGCUUAGAAGCAGCCAUCAUUUAAAGAAAGCGUAAUAGCUCACUGGUCGAGUCGGCCUGCGCGGAAGAUGUAACGGGGCUAAACCAUGCACCGAAGCUGCGGCAGCGAACGUAUCACCCAAGACAACUUUACGGAGUUGACGAUUGACGGAGCGAAGCGACGUCAAAGCGUUCAUUAAAGUCGAGUUGGCUUAGGGAUACGUUCGUUGGGUAGGGGAGCGUUCUGUAAGCCUGUGAAGGUGUGUCGUGAGGCAUGCUGGAGGUAUCAGAAGUGCGAAUGCUGACAUAAGUAACGAUAAAGCGGGUGAAAAGCCCGCUCGCCGGAAGACCAAGGGUUCCUGUCCAACGUUAAUCGGGGCAGGGUGAGUCGACCCCUAAGGCGAGGCCGAAAGGCGUAGUCGAUGGGAAACGGGUUAAUAUUCCCGUACUUGGUGUUACUGCGAAGGGGGGACGGAGAAGGCUAUGUUGGCCGGGCGACGGUUGUCCCGGUUUAAGCGUGUAGGUGUGUGUUCCAGGUAAAUCCGGUUCACUUUAACACUGAGGCGUGACGACGAGGCACUACGGUGCUGAAGCAACAAAUGCCCUGCUUCCAGGAAAAGCCUCUAAGCAUCAGGUAACACGAAAUCGUACCCCAAACCGACACAGGUGGUCAGGUAGAGAAUACCAAGGCGCUUGAGAGAACUCGGGUGAAGGAACUAGGCAAAAUGGUGCCGUAACUUCGGGAGAAGGCACGCUGACACGUAGGUGAAGUGAUUUACUCAUGGAGCUGAAGUCAGUCGAAGAUACCAGCUGGCUGCAACUGUUUAUUAAAAACACAGCACUGUGCAAACACGAAAGUGGACGUAUACGGUGUGACGCCUGCCCGGUGCCGGAAGGUUAAUUGAUGGGGUCAGCGCAAGCGAAGCUCCUGAUCGAAGCCCCGGUAAACGGCGGCCGUAACUAUAACGGUCCUAAGGUAGCGAAAUUCCUUGUCGGGUAAGUUCCGACCUGCACGAAUGGCGUAAUGAUGGCCAGGCUGUCUCCACCCGAGACUCAGUGAAAUUGAACUCGCUGUGAAGAUGCAGUGUACCCGCGGCAAGACGGAAAGACCCCGUGAACCUUUACUAUAGCUUGACACUGAACAUUGAGCCUUGAUGUGUAGGAUAGGUGGGAGGCUUUGAAGUGUGGACGCCAGUCUGCAUGGAGCCGACCUUGAAAUACCACCCUUUAAUGUUUGAUGUUCUAACGUGGACCCGUAAUCCGGGUUGCGGACAGUGUCUGGUGGGUAGUUUGACUGGGGCGGUCUCCUCCUAAAGAGUAACGGAGGAGCACGAAGGUUGGCUAAUCCUGGUCGGACAUCAGGAGGUUAGUGCAAUGGCAUAAGCCAGCUUGACUGCGAGCGUGACGGCGCGAGCAGGUGCGAAAGCAGGUCAUAGUGAUCCGGUGGUUCUGAAUGGAAGGGCCAUCGCUCAACGGAUAAAAGGUACUCCGGGGAUAACAGGCUGAUACCGCCCAAGAGUUCAUAUCGACGGCGGUGUUUGGCACCUCGAUGUCGGCUCAUCACAUCCUGGGGCUGAAGUAGGUCCCAAGGGUAUGGCUGUUCGCCAUUUAAAGUGGUACGCGAGCUGGGUUUAGAACGUCGUGAGACAGUUCGGUCCCUAUCUGCCGUGGGCGCUGGAGAACUGAGGGGGGCUGCUCCUAGUACGAGAGGACCGGAGUGGACGCAUCACUGGUGUUCGGGUUGUCAUGCCAAUGGCACUGCCCGGUAGCUAAAUGCGGAAGAGAUAAGUGCUGAAAGCAUCUAAGCACGAAACUUGCCCCGAGAUGAGUUCUCCCUGAGACUUAGAGUCUCCUGAAGGAACGUUGAAGACGACGACGUUGAUAGGCCGGGUGUGUAAGCGCAGCGAUGCGUUGAGCUAACCGGUACUAAUGAACCGUGAGGCUUAACCUUACA
rnacentral:rRNA from 1 species